rnacentral:rRNA from 1 species
GACGAACGCUGGCGGCGUGCCUAAUACAUGCAAGUAGAACGCUGAAGGAGGAGCUUGCUCUUCUGGAUGAGUUGCGAACGGGUGAGUAACGCGUAGGUAACCUGCCUUGUAGCGGGGGAUAACUAUUGGAAACGAUAGCUAAUACCGCAUAAGAGUAGAUGUUGCAUGACAUUUACUUAAAAGGUGCAAUUGCAUCACUACCAGAUGGACCUGCGUUGUAUUAGCUAGUUGGUGGGGUAACGGCUUACCAAGGCGACGAUACAUAGCCGACCUGAGAGGGUGAUCGGCCACACUGGGACUGAGACACGGCCCAGACUCCUACGGGAGGCAGCAGUAGGGAAUCUUCGGCAAUGGACGGAAGUCUGACCGAGCAACGCCGCGUGAGUGAAGAAGGGUUUCGGAUCGUAAAGCUCUGUUGUAAGAGAAGAACGAGGGUGAGAGUGGAAAGUUCACACUGUGACGGUAUCUUACCAGAAAGGGACGGCUAACUACGUG